rnacentral:misc_RNA from 1 species
GAUGAAGAACGCAGCGAAAUGCGAUAAGUAAUGUGAAUUGCAGAAUUCAGUGAAUCAUCGAAUCUUUGAACGCAUCUUGCGCUCCUUGGUAUUCCUUGGAGCAUGCCUGUUUGAGUAUCAUGAGCAAAUCUCAAAGUCAAUUCCUUUUGUUGAUUCAAUUGGUUUUGCUUUGGACUUGGAGGCCUUGCAGAUUUCACAGUCUGCUCCUCUCAAAUGCAUUAGCUGGAUCUCAGUAAUUAUGCUUGGUUCCACUCGGCGUGAUAAGUAUCACUCGCUGAGGACACUGUUAAAAAGGUGGCCAGGAAAAUACUGAUUGAACCGCUUCUAACGGUCUAUUAAGUUAGACAAUUACCCUUAAGUUUGAUCUCAAAUCAGGUAGGACUACCCGCUGAACUUAAGCAUAUCAAUAAGCGGAGGA